UUUUCGUCUAAGACUACCAAAAAGAAACCAUUUAAAAUCUAAAUUCAGUAAGUAUAAGUACUUUAUCAAUUCAUAAUGUAGAAGCGACCUUAUGAAAGGUUGUCAACUCAACGGCAACGUGCUAAUAUAUUUAUGAUCGUCAGGUAACAAGUUGUUAGGCUAAGAGCACUUCAACAUUAAUAGCCGCCUGCUUGUAAAGCAACUUUAUAUUGAGCAAGUUUGAGAACUUAUGAUUAACGGAUACAGACAGGCGUUGGGCAAAUGUUGAUAGCAAAUAUGUGCGAAGAUUAGUGCUAAUGCUCCUGAGCACACAGACUAUAGUGUUAAUUGUUAAUAGAGAUGCUCUGUGGACACUUUGGCUGGUAUAGGUAUAUUUGCUUUGACCUAUCUUACAGUUCCACAGCUAAUAGUUAGAUUAAUUCCAUAAAAGCUGCAGAUUCACAUAAGUCAGGGGCAUAAUUAAUUUAUAAUUCAGUUUUAAUUAAAUCUUAACGGACUGCUACCAAGCUAAUAAAAUUUUAACUUUUGAAUUAGGUUUUAGACGGUUCAAGUUUUGAGUUAGUAAUGAAAUUAUACAAUUUGCCUGUGACAAAGGUUUGUCUCACUGAAGAUUAAACUUGUUUAAACCUCUUAGUUGAGACAUACUUUGUCGUUUAAGAACUUUUCUUCAUCUGCAAAUCAACAUUGUUUAAUUAAAUUAUAACAAUUUAAGGGAUCCAUACCGCAUUGUAUAAAAAUAAAACAUAAUGGCCAAUCAUUAAGUAUAUUAAUAAUCAAUUAAGAUUUCUUUCAAAUUUAAAAUAAAUAAACCUAGUUAUUCUUACAUAUCUUAAUACUUACUACCAAACUGAAAGUUUGUAAACUAGCAUGGACGGAUGAAUUUUGUUGCUCUUUCACAGGACUUUUUAUAGACUGGUCCAAUUCAUAUGAAGUUUUACAAGUAGGGAGGUACCACCCAUACUAAGCUGACACCUCUAUUAACACAGGAAUAUUUAAGUGCUUGCUUAUUCAAAGACUAUGACUUUUAAUAAAAUUAUAAGUAGAUAUUCUACCCAUGACUGCAAGGGACCGAGAAACAUAUUUAAGUCAGAGAUACAUUUUUCAGUAUAAACAUAAACAGAUCAAAAAUAUCAAUCAUUCAACUCUAUUUUAAUAAAUUCAGCUUGCAUUCACGAAACCUUAUAAAGUUAAUUUCGAACCAUUUCACCCCAUUCUCGAAUUAUAGGUCGUUAAAACUUAAAAUCGUGUCCUAAAUAAUUAAAGCCACGUUCGCUUUAACCAAGCUCUAUGUUUUUUUUAUAAAAUUACAGGCAACCACUUACGUUCGCGUGAAAUAUUAUUUAACUUCAAGUCCCUGGAGGCCAUUUUUGUGACUAUAGAUGUUAUCGAUGUCAAUUACGGGCCAUAAAAUGAAAUGGCUUCAUCAUAAAUCUUGAAUUUGCAUGACACAAUUUUCCCUAGGUGUUGCAGAGAUUUAAAUUGUCGUGUAAAAUUUCUAACUUAAACUUCUUUCAAUGGUAGUUUGAUGGAGGCGGGUGGUGUAAUAUUUUCAUUAUGACGUACCUGAGCAUCAAUUUAAAAUAUAGGCUUCACACUGGCGAUAGUUUUUCUGUCAAUGUUUUACUCACAUUACACGUGAGGUGGAGAAGGAUCUGCGCGAGCGCCUGCGGACGACUGGCAGGAACUGAAUAAGUGGCGUCUUUUGGUAGCGGAGGCCAAGAUCCACUUUGGGUCAACGAGCCAUCAAGAGUGACAGUGAGACAUUGUAAGGCUUUGGGAGAUGACUGACCAAACACCCAUCGACAAGGCGAUCCUCUGGAUUGUGAGGUUUCAUACCUGACGGAUAAUAAUAUGUGUCCAGUCGACCUGUAAGUGUUUGUCAUAGCCUUAGAAAUGAUAACAAUAUACAUGGUUGUCGGUUGGUAAAAAGUUAAGGGCAUUUCUUAACUGCGCCGGUCCGGCCAACGUUAACCGAUCGAGGUUAACUUUAUUCUACAUAACUGUUGGGAAAUUUGCCCUUAACCAAUUUAAUACGCUUUUAUUGAUAAUAGCUAGGAUUAUUAUGGACGGUAAUAUAUUUUGUAAAGAAUUACAUAAAUAACAGAGUACUUUCCCAUUGUAUUUUUAUUUCUAUUCAGAUAGUGGUGGUGUAAAAUCAGCUAAGUGUUAUUUUUUUUAGUUAAUACCACGACCAUUGUUACAUUUAUGAUCAUUAGAAUAUUACGCCUACGGAAAAAAUAAAACAUUUCCUAAAUCAAAAAUAUGAAUUUUAAAUUAAACAAACAUUCAUAUAAUUUAUUAGAAACAACUAACUGCGAUAAACUUUUAAAAAGUGUCGAAUGUAUUAUGAUACAAAUGUAUGAAACUAUAUUUAUUUUAACAGGAUACGCUAUAAUUGAUAGCAAAUUUAGAAUUCUCAAGUAUUCAUUUUAUGUGUAUAUUUCAUGCUACAACUUGACUAUGGUGAUGUUGUGUGGGUACUACUCUUUCGUCAUGUUAAUUAAUGAUUACGAUGUCAGAGACGGCAUCAAAAUUGUUUUCACGUCUAUCAAAUUUAUGGCAAAAUUUUCAUCCACCACUUUUAUACCGAUAUUUUUCUGGAAAAAUCGUGAAAAAUACAUUAUGUUAGAAAAUAGCGUGGAAACACUAUCGAAACAUCUGGGCAUUCAUAGCAAGAAUGCUGUUGCUUUGAAAUAUUUAUUUUUUUGUCAAUUAACCACAGUUUAUUGGUUAAUUGAUAGUGUGUAUAUUGUGUAUUCUUCCGGAAGUGUUAGUAGUUUUGUGCACAACUAUCCGGACUUUGUAUGUCAUGUUGUCAUCACGAAGAGUGUCCUGACUUUAUCCAGAAUAGCUAAAAACUUUGGCUGUGUUAACGAGCUAUUUCAAAGCAUCGAAAAUCAAAAUGUUUUUUAUGAAGAAUUUAAACACGUCUCUAUGGUGGUGAGUGGUGAUGUUCGCUUGGACAUGUUCAAUUUGUACGAUCAAUACUAUGAUCAAAUAUGGGCCCAUGUACAAAAUGUUAAUAAUAGGAACUACGGAGCCGUUUUGUUGUGUUGUUUUUUUACUGGGUUGGUCAGAUUAUUCUUCACCAUGUUCAGGAUUGUAGGCCAUAUAGUUAAUGAUUCUGAAACCAAAAUGACUUUAGCAGAAAUGGCUACAAACAUAAUUUUCUUAUAUUUCGGAAUUGUCACUCUAGCGCUUGUUUCUUUUGAUGUUGAAAAUGAAGUAAGUAAGUCUCAAUUUACAACAAUGAUUGAGAUUCUUAUGAAAAAAAAUAAGAGGGAACAAAAUAAACUAAAAUGAAAGUUAAUCCAAGCUAUUGAAGUUUCAGUUCCGCCGUCGACAUAAUGCUGAAAUGAUGGACACAUUUAGAUCAGAAAAUCUUCGGAAUAGUGUUCGUUUAUUCAGCAGCAAAAUCAAUCGACAAAACGUGCGUAUUGCUGUAGGCGGAUCGUUUGAUGUCAACUUGAGUCUUCUGAUCAAGGUAGGAGCCGAUGAAUUAGUGUUGUGGUGCUUCAGAAACACCAUGUACUGCAGUGGACAAUACGGUAUCAAGCAUAGACAGGGGAAGGAUUGCAGAAAGCAACCUACGUUACAUAAUAAAAUAUUUAGUAAAAAGGUUUUGAAAAUAGGAACACCGACGACAGCAUCAUAAUUGUACCUUGUUAAAGUACCUUUAACAAAACGUCAAUGUUUUAAUUAGUUAAUAGGUAGUUUGUAAGUUUAACAAAGUACGAAAGUGUAUCUACAUAUUAAACUGACUGUACUAUGUUAUAUUUUGUUGUGAAAGUACAAAAAUACAAGAUAAUUCAAUGAUUAUUAUAAUUUCAGAUACUUGGCUGUGCUGCAACAAAUGUAACUUUAAUCAUGCAAAUACCUUUUCCACCGAGUUUCUAACUUAUUGGUAAUGAGUAUAGGUAACCAGUAACUAUUCCAAACGAAUUUGGCGCAUUGUAUUUUGCUAGCUGGAUAAAUAAAAUAGAUAAAUUUACUUAAUACUUAAUGUAUUCUUUCAUUUACUUAAACAUGAAGCCACAUCACAUCUAAACUAAAUUAUUAAAACAGCGCUUCACCAUACGUACGCAACUGAAAAAUCAAUUUCACAGGUUUGAUUUUUCACACGAUUUUUUCCAUAUCCCGAAUCUUUUCGGCAAAAGGAAAAGGAUGACCGAUAAAUUGUUUGAAAAAUCCAGAACCCAGAACUUCAUGACGAUAUUCAACUAAACACAAACAUAAUAUUAUAGUAAAGAUUUCUUGGAUGCUUAAAUUUCUAAAUAUUUAUUAAACGACUUCGACUAAUUAUGAUUAAUCAUACUUAUUAUGUAUAAACUAUAAAGGGGUUUUACCAGUUCAUUAGGAAAAAAAUGCUAAGGCGCAUUUUACAGCGAUAACAUAAAACUUUUUAGUCAUAGCUGCCAAUCAAUACCAUUAGUAGGUAUAAUGUAAGACGAGUGCGAAAUUUAUAUGGAUCCUUCCUUACAUUCCGAAUGAAGAGCUACGGCUGCGAGACUGUAAUAAAUUACUGCUGUACUGUAAGAUAUAAAAAAUCGCCUGGGCGCCAACCCGCACUAGGCCAGCGUGGUGGCCUUCAUUGGAAGGAGACCCGUGCCCCUGCAGUGGAACGUGAUGGAUGGCGAUGAUGAUGAUGAUAGUAGGUACACCGCUCUCUACUUUAUUUACAUUUCUGCAACUAACGGUUGCCUGCAAGAGAUUGCUCUCAGAGAUAAGGCCGCCAGAGAUAAGUAAUUUUUUGUCUGGUCUAUUAUGUCGGUUACCAAUAAAGGUAUAUUCUAUUCUAUUCUAAUUAAAUUCUAAACGCAAACGAGAAAGAU